UCCGUAAUGGUGUAAUGGUUAGCAUUUCUGCCUCUCAUAAGAAGUGCAAAUUUCGAUAGGUCGCAGGAGAUCAGGGUUCAAUUCCCUGUUACGGAA
rnacentral:tRNA from 1 species